AGGUGCAUUGUAGUCGCAUUG
rnacentral:miRNA from 11 species